rnacentral:lncRNA from 1 species
AUAAGCCAUCUAGUCUAUGGUAAUUUGUUACAGCAACUCAAAGUGACUAAGAUGCUCAAGAAGAAAUAAAGGAUACACAAGAAACUGAUAACAUUAGUUAACUGCACUGAGAAGAAUUAUGCAGCUGAGGGGCAGAGAGCUUCUGGUACCCAAUGAAGGGCCACAUCAGCUGGGGACACCUUGCUCAGUCCAGAAGCUGCUGUUCAAAGAUCCUGGACUUCCCAUCUGACAAAAGCCAGCAGAAGGGAGAACGGACUUGCCUUGUCUUAGAUGAGACUUUGGAAAGUGGACUUCAGAGUUAAUGCUGAAAUGUGUCAAGACUUGGGCGACUGUUAAGGAGGGAUGAUUGUAUUUUGCAAUGUGAGAAGGACAUGAGAUUUGGGAGGUGCCAGAGGUGGAAUGAUAUGGUU